ensembl:lncRNA
UACCAAUUUGACCACGGGGUUCUGUUGCGCAAGUGGACUCCGGUGUCUGGGUUAGAGGGUGAUGUGGUCACUCAGGUUGUGGUGCCGACGGAGUACCGACCCCAGGUUUUGAGUCUUGCCCAUGAGCAUCAUCUGUCAGGCCACUUAGGGAUUAGAAAAACGUAUGACAGAGUGCUCCGCUAUUUUUUUUGGCCAGGGCUUAAAUCUGAUGUGGCUCUUUAUUGUCGGUCCUGUCAUGUUUGUCAGGUGUCUGGCAAGCCCAAUCAGGUCAUCCCUCCUGCCCCUUUACAUCCUAUCCCUGCAAUAGGUGAGCCCUUCGAACAUGUCAUAGUGGACUGUGUAGGGCCCUUGCCGAAGACCAAGGCAGGUUACCAGUAUGUACUUACCAUAAUGUGUGCGGCUACACGGUUUCCAGAAGCUAUUCCCCUGCGAUCGCUCAGGGCAAAGGCCGUUAGAAAGCACUAGUUCAGUUUUUUUCUACAUUUGGGUUACGAAAUACAUUCAAACCGACCAGGGAUCUAAUUUCCUGUCUAGGGUUUUUGCUCAAGUUAUGUCUGAACUGUCUGUUAAGCACCGGGUGUCUAGUGCUUAUCACCCAGAAACUCAGGGGCAUUGGGCGAUUCCACCAGACUCUAAAGGCCAUGUUGCGGAAGUACUGUGUUGAAACUGAUGCAGAAUGGGAUGUGGGCCUGCCAUUGUUGUUGUUUGCCAUUCGAGAAGCCACACAGGAGUCCCUGGGUUUUAGCCCGGCAGAGUUGGUUUUUGGGCACACUGUGCGUGGACCCUUACGUCUGCUCCAGGAGAGGUGGCUUGCAGACCAGCCGAGACCCGCGCACAAUGUACUUGAUUAUGUGAGUUCGUUUAGGGAGAGGUUGCACGCUGCGUGUGAGUUGGCACGUAGCUCGCUUUCUAAUGCCCAGAGUAAUAUGAAGGAGAGGUAUGAUAGGAAAACCCUCAAGCGUACCUUUCUGCCUGGUGAGCAUGUUUUGGUUUUCCUACCAGUUGUGGGUUCAUGUCUUCAAGCUCGCUUCAGUGGUCCUUAUGAGGUUGAGCGCCAAAUCAGUGACACAGAUUAUCUGAUUAAAACCCCAGAUAGGCGGAAAAAGUCCCGGGUCUGUCACAUCAACAUGUUAAAGAAAUAUGUGGUCCGUGAAAAGACUCAUACCAACAUGGGCUCCCCUGUUGUGACGGUGGGAUCACCCUCCUACCAACCUGAGGUGGAUGGGUUGCAUGAGCACCAGGAACCAAGUUCUGGGGCAC